rnacentral:rRNA from 1 species
UACGAAGGGGGCUAGCGUUGCUCGGAAUCACUGGGCGUAAAGCGCACGUAGGCGGCUUUUAAGUCAGGGGUGAAAUCCUGGAGCUCAACUCCAGAACUGCCUUUGAUACUGAGAGCUUGAGUCCGGGAGAGGUGAGUGGAACUGCGAGUGUAGAGGUGAAAUUCGUAGAUAUUCGCAAGAACACCAGUGGCGAAGGCGGCUCACUGGCCCGAUACUGACGCUGAGGUGCGAAAGCGUGGGGAGCAAACAGG